AGAACGAACGCUGGCGGCAGGCUUAACACAUGCAAGUCGAGCGCCCCGCAAGGGGAGCGGCAGACGGGUGAGUAACGCGUGGGAACGUACCCCUCGGUUCGGAAUAACUCAGGGAAACUUGAGCUAAUACCGGAUACGGCAUUCAAGAGAAAUCUUGGCGGCGAAAGAUUUAUCGCCGAGGGAUCGGCCCGCGUCCGAUUAGCUAGUUGGUGUGGUAAUGGCGCACCAAGGCGACGAUCGGUAGCUGGUCUGAGAGGAUGAUCAGCCACAUUGGGACUGAGACACGGCCCAAACUCCUACGGGAGGCAGCAGUGGGGAAUAUUGGACAAUGGGCGCAAGCCUGAUCCAGCCAUGCCGCGUGAGUGAUGAAGGCCUUAGGGUUGUAAAGCUCUUUCGCCCACGACGAUAAUGACGGUAGUGGGAGAAGGAAGCCCCGGCUAACUUCGUGCCAGCAGCCGC
rnacentral:rRNA from 1 species